UCUGACAACCCUAGAGAUAGGGCUUCUCCUUCGGGAGCAGAGUGACAGGUGGUGCAUGGUUGUCGUCAGCUCGUGUCGUGAGAUGUUGGGUUAAGUCCCGCAACGAGCGCAACCCUUGAUCUUAGUUACCAUCAUUAAGUUGGGCACUCUAAGGUGACUGCCGGUGACAAACCGGAGGAAGGUGGGGAUGACGUCCAAUCAUCAUGCCCCUUAUGACCUGGGCUACACACGUGCUACAAUGGACGGUACAAAGAGCUGCAAGACCGCGGGGUGUAGCUAAUCUCAUAAACACGUUCUCAGUACGGAUUGUAGACUGCAACUCGCCUACAUGCAGAUGGAAUCGCUAGUAAUCGCGAAUCAGCAUGCCGCGGUGAAUACGUUCCCGGGCCUUGUACACACCGCCCGUCACACCACGAGCGUUUGUAACACCCGAAGUCGGUGGGGUAACCUUUUUGGAGCCUGCCGCCUAAGGUGGGACUGAUGAUUGGGGUGACGUCGUAUCAAGGUAGCCGUAUCGGAAGGUGCGGCUGGAACACCUCAUUUCUAUGGA
rnacentral:rRNA from 1 species